GGGUAGGACAGGGCGGGGCAGGGCGCAGGAGGACAGGGUGACCUGGGCAGCCUGACCUGGAAUAAUCGAACAGGGCCGAUCAUCUCUGGAGAGCCUGCUCAGACCUGCCCUCCCCACAAAGCACGCUGCAGAUGUCUGGGGUCAUCCGCCGCUUUGAGAAAUCUGAUGGCUUCACCCCUCUCGCUCCUGUCCCCGGGUCUCCCCCAGCUGCGGCUGAGACAUUCAAACCACAACCUCCCUCUUUGCCUGAUCUGAGGAGAGAAGCCCACGGGAUGUGUGAAUCUGCACUCCAUCGGCCUAGAGAAACAUCGUCUCUCCUUGGGUACAGGUGGUAGCCUCCCAGUUCCUGGGGUGGAGAAUGUUUGCUUUCUGUUAAUGAAAAGGAAUAAAUGUGAUAAUAAAUAAGCGCUCCA
rnacentral:lncRNA from 1 species